CAUUGUCUUUUUCGGGUGAAAUUAUUCGAUAACAUUGGACGUUUUUUUUACGAUUGUCCGUCGAUUCUUUCCUGUCCGUAUUCACAGCAGAGAGUUCAUGAUAUAAGUUUACCUAUAGUUUUAUACACCGCGUGGUUCACAGCGUAUAAGCGUUUUGACAACGCAGCCAGUGACGAAUUCAUUUUUCGACGAGCUCCGAAAUACAUCCUCGUUGAUUUAUGCGCGUAUAAAGUAUUGUGCACUCGCGUAUAUACUAUUUUAUACGACUUUAUUAUAAUAAUAUAUGGGUAGAAGAUGCACAUACGGUGUAAUGACAUAAUAUUGUUAUGGCGCAAAUGCAAACGUAAAGAAAAAUGGGCGCUGC